CCGUGAUCCGCGCCAUGCAGGCGGCUUGCCUUGCACAGCUCUCCCGAAAGGACGCCCGAGAGCAAGGGCACGGGGCUGCACUGCAGGACGUGCCCCCGGCUCCCCGCUACGGAAUCUGCCCCUCCUGAUAGCGACCUCCCUGGAGCAAACAGCAACCGAGUUGGCUGAUCGUCCCUUGGAGUUGUUCUAACGGAGAUCGGCGCUGCUGCUCCUGCCAGGUCACAGGUUGGCAAAAAAUGAGCCUGGAGGAAGUUACUGGCUUCGAGCAGAUCGGGGGUGCCUUGUGCGCCUGCCCUGAGGUGAGGUGUGCUGCUCGCGAUCCGUACGUCUGUUUGGGGACAAGGCCAUCAGUCACAGCUGCUGCCAGCGUCCUUGCGUAGCUGCAUGAGGAGUCUUUCCCCAUUUGAUUUGGGAGUGCCCGCUUUUUAGGGUGGAUGAUAUUGAUGGUUGGAAGUUCAGUUAUUUGAAGCUCAGCCACAAGUGUAAAAACAAUUGUUUAAGCGAAGCGAACAGUAACAAAUAUGCCAAUUUAAAUGUGGAUGGUGUUAAUGAACACUUAAUGUGCAAAGUUAAAAGCAGUUAAAAAAGUGAAAAGCAAAAUGUAACAGCUGUGAUCGACUUGUUCUUUUGAAGUCACCUUCAAGCAUAUAAAGAACUGAGAUUAAAAAAAGUGGUGUCUAGAGAAAUGGGGUGGUCCAAAGGACUUGUCCCAUUCUACGUGAAAGUCCUGAGUGAUCUGUCCAAGGUUUUGUUCUCUGUUGGACUGUGAUGGUAAAUACCUGAGAAAGGGCUGCUUAUAGCC